GACCCUGACAACAAUGGUGUUUUUAUUUUAAGGGACUAAUCAACACAGAAGAAGAAAUGUCAGUCUACAAAUACAAAACUCGAUCACCUCAAGUGUGUGGAAUUAACUUCUCGCAUGGACGUGGAGCUUUGUCAUGGACCGACAGCGCCAGAUCCAGUGCGCCACUCAACAUGACCAACCCCAACGGCCCCUAGCAGCCUGCAGGUCCCCUCCAGACCAUGGGACAGGAUCUCGCCCCCAUUUCCACCUACGCCCCGUGGAUCUUCGCCUUCAAGGAGCGUCAUGAAGGAGGUCAAAACUCUGAGAUGUCUUGGGCACCAGGUGACACAGAUUAAGAGAUGCUGGGAAGUAAGGCAAUACAUAAACCUGCCAAAGUUUCUGCCUUAAUCAGUCACAUUCAAUGAAAGGCAUGUGUGCAUACCCAUAUCUUGAUGCAGAAGAAGACAGAGGACGGUAAAGAAGAAGGGCAGCCUGGUUAGGCCCCGGAGUGGGAGUGUCCUACCUUGGG